rnacentral:miRNA from 1 species
CGUUGUCGCGUUCUGAGAUGUC